rnacentral:rRNA from 1 species
UAUUGCGCAAUGGGGGAAACCCUGACGCAGCAACGCCGCGUGAAGGAAGAAGGCCUUCGGGUUGUAAACUUCUUUAUGUGUGGAAGAUAAUGACGGUACACACAGAAUAAUCCACGGCUAACUACGUGCCAGCAGCCGCGGUAAUACGUAGAUGGCAAGCGUUGUCCGGAUUUACUGGGUGUAAAGGGCGUGUAGGCGGGAUAGCAAGUCAGAUGUGAAAUACCGGGGCUUAACUCCGGGGCUGCAUUUGAAACUGCAAUUCUUGAGUGCCGGAGAGGAAAGCGGAAUUCCUAGUGUAGCGGUGAAAUGCGUAGAUAUUAGGAGGAACACCAGUGGCGAAGGCGGCUUUCUGGACGGCAACUGACGCUGAGGCGCGAAAGCGUGGGGAGCAAACAGG